CUUUCAAUGUGUUUGUUUCUUUUAGCUAUUGUCAUCCCUGUAGUUAGAAAGUUAUAAAACAAAAUUAAAUUGAAUGAUUAAACAUUAUAAUGGUUGCUCUGAUUGAAAAAAAAAAAAACAUAGAGUUGAAAAACUAGUUUAUAGCAGAUAAACUUACGCGCAAUAAUUUAGUUUAUUGAAUUUGUAGUGUUUAGUAUUAGCAUAAUUGAUCUAGACCAUAUUGCUGAAAUCUAAGGAAUUUGAUGAAAAUCCUUCUCUAUACUAGGAUUACAUUUAUGUGAAAUCGUAUGUGCUUGGUGGGGGAGAUGGGUAGUUUGGUUGAAGGUCAAUGAGUUUGAGAAUUGAGGUGGAGAAGAGAUCUCUUUGUCUGGGAGCUUAAUCUCUUGGAAAGUCUCCAUGAAAUUUUUAACCGCUCAACAAUCUCUACAACUGAUGAUUCUUGGUUUUGGAAGCAUGAUUCAACCGGCCACUAUUCAGUUAAGUAGGCUUUUUUUGGCACUUAGUCCUUCCACAUCUUAUGAGGUCAUCUUCUCUGCAGAGGAAGAAAGGAUGCUCCAAAAGUGUGGAAAACUUGGGCCCAUUCAAAAGUGGUGUUCUUCUCUUAGCAACUUCUGCAGGAUGGUUGCCGACUCGUCAACGAUGCACCUAAAAAUAUAGGUUCUUUUGCAAGAUAAUAUCUGAUCAAUAAUAUAGACCAAAUACAUUAAUU
rnacentral:lncRNA from 1 species